rnacentral:rRNA from 1 species
UACGUAGGGUGCAAGCGUUGUCCGGAAUUAUUGGGCGUAAAGAGCUCGUAGGCGGUUCGUCGCGUCGGCUGUGAAAACCCGGAGCUCAACUCCGGGCCUGCAGUCGAUACGGGCGGACUUGAGUGUUGCAGGGGAGACUGGAAUUCCUGGUGUAGGCGGUGAAAUGCGCAGAUAUCUGGAGGAAUACCGGUGGCGAAGGCGGCAUUCUGGACCGACAUUGACACUAAAGCGCGAAAGCCAGGGAGG